rnacentral:rRNA from 1 species
ACUCCUACGGGAGGCAGCAGUAGGGAAGUCUUCCACAAUGGGCGCGAAGCCUGAUGGAGCAACACCGCGUGAGUGAAGAAGGGUUUCGGCUCGUAAAGCUCUGUUGUUAAAGAAGAACACGUAUGAGAGUAACUGUUCAUACGUUGACGGUAUUUAACCAGAAAGUCACGGCUAACUACGUGCCAGCAGCCGCGGUAAUACGUAGGUGGCAAGCGUUAUCCGGAUUUAUUGGGCGUAAAGAGAGUGCAGGCGGUUUUCUAAGUCUGAUGUGAAAGCCUUGGCUUAACCGGAGAAGUGCAUCGGAAACUGGAUAACUUGAGUGCAGAAGAGGGUAGUGGAACUCCAUGUGUAGCGGUGGAAUGCGUAGAUAUAUGGAAGAACACCAGUGGCGAAGGCGGCUACCUGGUCUGCAACUGACGCUGAGACUCGAAAGCAUGGGGUAGCGAACAGGAUUAGAUACCCUGGUUGGAUAGCG